CAACCCUCAAGCUCAGCUUGGUAUUAAGCCUCACCCGUCAGGGCGGGCUGUAAAAUCAGUGGCGGUGCCAUUCGGCUUCAAGCGUAGUAAUUCUUCUCGCUUUGGAGGACCGGGUGCGUGCCUGCCAGCAACCCCAAUUUUAUCAAA
rnacentral:misc_RNA from 1 species